AUUUUUAAUUGAAAUCUUGUUUGAAUGGUUUAAUGAAAUAAAUUCUUUUUUAAUUUAAAUAUUGAAUUUUAUUUUUUAGUUAAAAAGCUAAAAUAUAAUAAAGGGACGAGAAGACCCUAUAGAAUUUUAUAUUAUAUUAAUUUAAAAUUUUAUUUAAUAUUAAGUAUAAUAUUUUAUUGGGGCGAUAAUUAAAUUUAAUUAACUUUAGAAUUAAAAUUCAUAAAUUAAUGUUUUUAUGAUCUUUUUUUAUUGAUUAAAAAAUUAAAUUACCUUAGGGAUAACAGCAUUAUAUUGUUAAGAAGUUCUUAUUUUUAAUAAUGUUUAU
rnacentral:rRNA from 1 species